CCUACGGGUGGCUGCAGUGGGGAAUAUUGGACAAUGGGCGAAAGCCUGAUCCAGCCAUGCCGCGUGUGUGAAGAAGGCCUUCGGGUUGUAAAGCACUUUCAGUGGGGAAGAAAGCCUUGGGGCUAAUACCCUCGAGGAAGGACAUCACCCACAGAAGAAGCACCGGCUAACUCCGUGCCAGCAGCCGCGGUAAUACGGAGGGUGCGAGCGUUAAUCGGAAUUACUGGGCGUAAAGCGCGCGUAGGCGGUCUGAUAAGCCGGUUGUGAAAGCCCCGGGCUCAACCUGGGAAGGGCAUCCGGAACUGUCAGGCUAGAGUGCAGGAGAGGAAGGUAGAAUUCCCGGUGUAGCGGUGAAAUGCGUAGAGAUCGGGAGGAAUACCAGUGGCGAAGGCGGCCUUAUGGACUGACACUGACGCUGAGGUGCGAAAGCGUGGGUAGCAAACAGGAUUAGAUACCCCUGUAGUC
rnacentral:rRNA from 1 species